rnacentral:rRNA from 1 species
AUUGAACGCUGGCGGCAGGCCUAACACAUGCAAGUCGCGCGAGCGGCGGACGGGUGAGUAAUUUAUGGGGAUCUGCCUGAUGGAGGGGGAUAACUACUGGAAACUGUAGCUAAUACCGCGUACCAUAGGAUGAGCCCAAGUGGGAUUAGGUAGUUGGUGAGGUAAAGGCUCACCAAGCCGACGAUCUCUAGCUGGUCUGAGAGGAUGACCAGCCACACGGGGAUUGAGACACGGACCAGAAUCCUACGGGAGGCAGCAGUGGGGAAUAUUGCGCAAUGGGGGCAACCUGACGCAGCCAUGCCGCGUGAAUGAAGAAGGCCUUCGGGUUGUAAAGUUCUUUCGGUAGCGAGGCGUUAACUACAGAAGAAGCACCGGCUAACUCCGUGCCAGCAGCCGCGGUAAUAC